GAGAGACUUCAGUCGGCUCUCUUGGGGAAACACAUCUGAUUUGAUCUUAAUCAUUGGGGAAUAUUGAUCAAUAAGGAUCUUUCUGGAGACUUUCUGCAGCAUCCCACCCCCUGCUGUGACCAGUAAAACUUUAUUUUUUAUUGUUUUGGUGGGAUAAAAUGGUAACAGCGAGGAUCUAGUGUGUGUUUGCCAGCCUGCUGUCCGGUUCCAGCUCAGAGGAGGAUUUUAUUUUUUAUUUUUUUUAUUUUUUAAAGACAUACAGGGAAGAGUUUUGUGUGAUCUGCGACUAUAAAACGGAGGGAUGACAGUCAAGCUGGACUUUGAGGAGUGUUUGAAAGACUCUCCGCGCUUCAGAGCUGAAAUCGAAGUGGUCCAAAGCGAUGUGAGUGAACUCGAGACGCGAUUAGAAAAGCUUGUGAAACAAUGCCAGGCCAUGCUGGAGGCCGGCAGAGUCUACUGCCAGACCAGCAAGAGCUUCGUCAAUGGCCUCCGGGAUCUGGGACACCACUGCUCCGGGGACAAGAUGAUGGAGGAGUGUUUGGACAAAUUUUCCAAAAAGCUGUCUAUCAUCUUGGAAGCUCAGGGGGAAGUGAUUGAGACCACACAGAAGUCAGUCAAGUCGAAGCUGCAGAACUUCGUCAAAGAGGAUGUGCGUCGUUUCAAGGAUGUGCGUAAGGAGUUUGAGCGCAGCAGCGAGUGCCUGGAGGGGGCGCUGGUGAGGAACGCUCAGGCCCCACGGGGGAAACAACACGAAGUGGAGGAGGCGAGCAACGCUCUGCUCAACGCACGCAGGACCUUUCGGUCUGGGGCCCUGGAUUAUGUCCUGGAGAUUAACGUCAUUGAGGCCAAGAAGAAGACAGACAUUCUGAUGGCACUGUUGUCACUGAUGGAGUCCCAGGCUCAGCUCUUCCAACAUGGCCACCAGUCUCUCUCAGAACUGGAUGAGUAUCGACGGAAAUUGAAUGAAGAGCACACUCAGUUUGUCCUAAACUCUGCCCGGGAGAAGAGGGACAUGGAGCAAAGACACGCUGCAAUCAAGAAAAAGGACGUGUCUUAUGAUGACUCAAUCAUGGAUUUUAACGCUGACAAGUCUAAUGGGAUCGCCAUGGAGGGAUACCUCUACAAGAGAGCCAGCAACGCCUUCAAGACUUGGAGCAGGCGUUGGUUUUCAAUUCAGAAAAAUCAGCUGGUGUAUCAGAAGAAAUUCAAGGAGCAGCCUACAGCCGUGGUGGAGGACUUGCGUCUUUGCACAGUGAAGCCCAGCGCUGAAAACGAAAGACGGUUCUGCUUUGAAGUGGUCUCCCCAUCAAAGUGUUGUUUGUUGCAAGCAGACUCUGAGAGGCAGCAGCAGGCGUGGAUCAGUGCCGUCCAAAACAGCAUCGCCUCAGCCUUUCAGGAGCACAGAGAGGACCCACACAGCCCCAGACAGCGCUGCAGCUCGGUGACUGCGAACAAUUUGGUAGGAGGGGGAGGAGGAGGAGGAGUGGAUCAGGAGAACAAAGGCUGCAAGGCCUUGGAGGAGGUCCAGGCGAUCCCCGGGAACAAGCAGUGCUGCGACUGCGGGGAGUCGGGUCCUGAUUGGGCCUCCAUCAACCUGGGCAUCACGCUUUGUAUCGUCUGCUCAGGAAUACACAGGAGCCUGGGAGUCCAUUUUUCCAAAGUACGCUCCCUCACUCUGGACUCCUGGGAGCCAGAGCUCAUUAAGUUGAUGUGUGAAUUAGGAAACACAGUAAUCAACAGGAUCUACGAGGCCCGGAUUGAUGAGAUCACCAUCAAGAAGCCCCACCCCUCCAGUCCCAGAGGAGACAAGGAGUCGUGGAUCCGAUCAAAGUACGUUGAGAAGAAGUUCAUCCAAAAGCUGCCUGAGACUGGCAGGAACCCCCUGCUGAGGCGAUCCAGCGGCAGGAGGACCCGAGCCGACACGCAGGACCAGGCCGCGCAGCGUCCGCCGCUCAAACCCAAACCGAACCGAGCCACUCUGCCCCGGGUCACAGGGCUGAUCCCCAGUGACCUUGUCCAAAAGAACAAUACACACAAAGAUGUGGACGAGGAAGAGGAGGAUCUGAGUGGACUUCACCCCGGGGCGUUGUUGUACCGCUCGGCAGCCCUGCAGAACUUCCCCGUCAUGGCCGACGCUUUGGCCCACGGAGCCAGCGUCAACUGGGUCAACACAGCCGAGGAGUCCAGCACGCCGCUGAUACAGGCGGUCUCAGCGAACGCGCUGGCAGCCUGCGAGUUCCUGCUGCAGAACGGCGCUAACGUCAACCAGGCAGACAGCAAUGGGAGAGGACCGCUUCACCACGGCACCAUCCUGGGUCACACCGGGUUGGUUUGUCUCUUCUUGAAGCGAGGAGCAGACUACAACGCCAAAGACAAGGACCAGAAAGACCCCAUAACUAUUGCCGUGGACACCGCCAACGCUGACAUCGUCACUUUGCUGAGGAUCGCCAAGAUGAACAAGGAGAUGCGGGAGAUGGACGGAGCGUUUGGCCAAUCAGGUCAAUCGGGGGGGCAGGGGUCUGGGGGUUUAUUAGGAGGGACAGGAGGAGGGCGGGCCCACACCAGGAAGAGCCUCCAGGCUCUAAAGAACCACAUAAGUGGCUGGGCUCUGGGGGGACAAAACGAUUAGUGGGGAUAUAAAUCAGCCCAGGACAAGAGACUGGAAUGAGCCUGGUUUUGGUUCUACGCUAAAAGGAAAAACAUGUUUGUUUUUUUGUCAAGUUGUUAAGCACCAGAAAGCACUGGUUUUGCAGUGUCAUGUGGUGUUUAUCUGCAGCAUCUGCAGCAAAAUGAUCUAACCAUAUCAUUCAAGGAAACAUGCAUCAUCACAAAAAAAAGGGAAAAUGGCCUUCACUGAGAAAGCAUAAAAUUAAAUUCUUGUUCACCAAGUAAAAGCCAGAACACAGGGUACGAAAUUAUAGAGUCUCAAGGUCAUAAGGGAGAACAGAUUUAUUACACCAGUGAAGACGGAGAAUGUCAUGUGAAACAAGUUCACAUCGCACUUUGAAUUACAAACGCACAUCACCCUGCACUUUGAAACCCCACACAAUCUCUGAAUACCGAGUGCUGCAUGUGGGUGUUUCCAAUGUUGUAUAACUAAGGUUUAGGAAAAUGUAUAUUUAUAUAUAAUAGACUUAUAUAAGGCCUAUUUUUUAUAUUGUAUGUUUGGGAUAUUUGUAUAUACAGUAUGUACAGUGUUCUGGCUUUAUCAGAUUUCAUUGUGUUUGUGUGUACUGGUUUUUUUCAGUCCAGUUAUGUAAGCUAAAUUUAAUGUCGGGUUCGGUCCUCAAGGACGGUUUUAUCCCGCUAUUCUGUGAAUAGUGAUAGUUUCAACUCUGUUAUAUCAGAAUUUUAAGAGCAUUGUGCUGCAGCUCCAGAGCUAAAGGUUAACUGUUGGUUUUGUUUGCAUUUUUUUUUUGUCAUUCGGCUCCUUCUCAAGCUGCAAAAUCCAUUCUUUCAUGAUUGUUCUUUCGUGGCUAUCAAGUCUUUUUUUUUUCUUUUAAGUUCUUGUGUCAGCUGUAUUCAAUCACGGUCUCACUCAUGAAGGAAUGGGAACGUGAUGCUUUUGUCUGCUUGAAACAAACUGCUGGUCAGUAUUUGAUGUGCUCUAUCACUGUGUGUCUCUGUUGUGUGCACUUUUUUUUUGCCUUCUGCCCGCUGAGAUGUCCAGCUGGUCUCAACUGCUUGUGCAGUGUGCCACCUACUGCAAACUGAGAGGUGAUGAAACCUACCACGACAUCUUCAGAGACUUCUCACACAUGGCCUCGAACAACCCAGAGAAGCUCAAACGCCGCAGCGCAGACCCU